UACGGGGGGAGCAAGCGUUGUUCGGAUUUACUGGGCGUAAAGGGCGCGUAGGCGGCCACCGCAAGUCGGUUGUGAAAUCUCUGGGCUUAACCCAGAAAGGUCAACCGAUACUGCGGGGCUAGAGUGCAGAAGGGGCAACUGGAAUUCUCGGUGUAGCGGUGAAAUGCGUAGAUAUCGAGAGGAACACCUGCGGCGAAAGCGGCGCACUGGACCACAACUGACGCUGAGGCGCGAAAGCUAGGGGAGCAAACAGG
rnacentral:rRNA from 1 species